CCUGGCCUUGACAUACUAAGAACUUUCCAGAGAUGGAUUGGUGCCUUCGGGAACGUUAGAUACAGGUGCUGCAUGGCUGUCGUCAGCUCGUGUCGUGAGAUGUUGGGUUAAGUCCCGCAACGAGCGCAACCCUUUUCCUUAUUUGCCAGCGGGUUAAGCCGGGAACUUUAAGGAUACUGCCAGUGACAAACUGGAGGAAGGCGGGGACGACGUCAAGUCAUCAUGGCCCUUACGGCCAGGGCUACACACGUGCUACAAUGGUCGGUACAAAGGGUUGCUACCUCGCGAGAGGAUGCUAAUCUCAAAAAGCCGAUCGUAGUCCGGAUCGCAGUCUGCAACUCGACUGCGUGAAGUCGGAAUCGCUAGUAAUCGCGGAUCAGAAUGCCGCGGUGAAUACGUUCCCGGGCCUUGUACACACCGCCCGUCACACCAUGGGAGUUUGUUGCACCAGAAGUAGGUAGUCUAACCGCAAGGAGGACGCUUACCACGGUGUGGCCGAUGACUGGGGUGAAGUCGUAACAAGGUAAGCGUAGAUGA
rnacentral:rRNA from 1 species